ensembl:lncRNA
UGUUUGUUUGUUUUUAUCCCUGCGUCACCCGGAAGUGACGAUUCUGUCGACCAAUCAACGGAGGGGGGCUAGAAUUUCACGGGACCCUUUCAGGCGUCUGGUCUCGUUUUGGGUACCGCAACGGAGGAGUCCCGAGAAUGGGGCCGGAACGGGUACGGCAAAGUCCGGGUCACGCCCACUUUUGGCGGUGGAAACGCGACCCGACCCGCACCUUUGCGAUCCGAUCCGUUCCGCACCCUGCAGUGGAAACGCGCCAUAAAAUGGGGUCGGAACGGGUACGGCAAAGUCCGGGUCACGCCCACUUUUGGCGGUGGAAACGCGAUCCGACCCGCACCUUUGCGAUCCGAUCCGUUCCGCACCCUGCAGUGGAAAUGCGCCAUAAGGGCAGCCUUUAUGCGCAUGCUCGCCUCUUCUUCUUAUUUCAUUUCUUCUGGAUUUCUGUACCAGAAGAGGCGCCCCUUAUGGGCCUGGAAUGUGUACUACAGCGUUUCUACAGAUCUACCCGGUUUCGCUUAGCUUCGUCUUUACGGAGAUACUUCGAAACCGGAUAGAUCGAAACCGUAACGGUUUCGCCCGUUUCGGCUUCGUGUGAACGGGGCCUAACUCAAUCCGAUUCCAUCUACAGCUCUUACAGCCAAUGAGAAUAAGGCUGUUCGGGCUAGCUAGCCAAUGGGAUAGAUCCAUGAUUUGAUUCGUCCCCGCACGUGCGGCUCGGUGACGGUGACUUGUCACUCGAUUGCAUUGGUCAUCAACCGUCUUUUUUUACAUGACCACGGAAUCAAAAACAUAAACAACAGCAAAUGAGUGGCGUGUUACGAUCGAAAACACAGGCUUGGAGGUUUGGAGAGGGAAAGAGAAGAGCAAAUGAUUGGGAGUAGGAGAAGGGAGGUAAGGAUGAUAGUAGAAUCUCAUGUUAGCCAGGCCUGCCUCAAAAUUGGCUGUGUCGCACACACGCACUUGUGUAUGUCACCAUGGGUGAAUCUUUCACAUGCACUGUAGGCCUACGAAGUGCGCAACCAUUCUCAGCACUCCAUUUUAGGAACUAUCAAUGUUGUACAUUGUAACAACAAGCCUGCGUGAACUUUUAACUUGUCUCUCAUGAUGUUAGUGCUGCUUUUGUUAUUUCACAGUCGUCAUGAGCAAGAGGAAGCAAGAGGGUUGCAGAGACAUUCGGCAAUGUUUUGCCUCGUCUCAGAAAAGAAGCAAAGUAACUAAAGAGGGUUGACACACAACUCUACACAGCAGCGUUGCAGUUGCUAUUAUAGCAAUAUAAUAAUUAUUAAGUCAAGUUUCAUUCAAGGUUACAAAACAUUGUAUAAUGUAUGUAUUCAUAGAUUAAUCCAUAACUACCGUAAUCAGAAAACAUUUAGGUUAUGUCCUUGACAUGUCUAAUUCUUUAACAGUGCACCAUUCAAUACGGCUAAUGGUUUCACCAUGAAAUUAGCUCAGUGUGCUCUCUCGUGAAACUAUCGUGAAACUAUCGUGAAACUAUCUAUGUACUUAUUAAACAAGUGGAUGAAAAUAUCAGAAAAUCUAUAUUUUCUGAGGGGUAACAAAAGUUUUGGGGUGACUUCUAUUUAGGUCCAUGAGAAAGAUGCACCUGGGUGGGUUUUACUCAGCAUUGGCAAAUGUGAUGGUUAUGCAAUAAAAAAUGUAAUGGAAGUAAGAACUGGCUGGAUUUUGUGUCCUUGUUGUGGUGGUGCAGGUGUUUGUUUGUGUGUGUUUUGUAAAAAAGACAAAACAUCAAUGAAUGUAAUGUGGAAAAAAAAAGGACUGGAUUGGUUG